GACGGAAGCAGCAGCAUUCCGCUUGCAGGUUUUUGAAAAAACAAAUGGGGCAAGAGAGGCCAGGACCACGCCUGACUCAGGCGAUCGGACGGGCAGGGAGGCUGCAAGGCAUGGCAUGAGCAGGUGGAGCUGUCAGGACUGCCCCAGCCCCUGGCUCAAAGAUGCCCGACCCCAGGACCCUGCCUCGCUGGAUGGUGAAGGCCAACUUCCCCUCUGUUGGAGCUGGCCUGGGCGUUGUGGGAAGGGCUGGGAGGAGGCCCAGGACAAUGCAGAACAGACAGGACGUUUCACAGAGCAGGCUGCCAUGUCCCUCGGGGCCUUGGGGGCUGCUGAGGCCCUGAGAAAGGUCACUGGAGGCCUGGCCGGAAGUGCAGGGUUAUCUCAGUACUUGAUUUAAGGCUCCUGCAGCUGAAAAGCUGCCCCACACGGCGGACCGGGUGGAGGAAGUCAGCUGUGCUGCUUAACCGUGGAGUCUCCGUCCCGGUCCUGCUCACCAGCUCUGCAAAGGCCUUGUCCUCCCUGCCUGAUUCUCGGCACCAUUUUUAACACGGCUAUGGAGAGGCCACGUUGAGUCCAGAGGUCCGUGCGCCUCAUGGCCACAUCACGGCACCCGUUCACCCACACAAGGGCCAGGAGCAUCCCCUAGGGAGGAGGAGAUGGCAGAUCUGCACAGGCUCUGCGCUCCUCUCUCUCCGGAGCGUCCUCUCCUCUGUGUGGCAGGCUCGGCGCGUGAUGGAGGAGCCCCUUCUGCAGGGCUCUGUUUAGAGGGUGCCCGCCCCACAGCCUGUGGCUGCUCCUACUCAUGCCAGGUGAGGCUCCUACACCCACCAGUGGCCACCGGGGAGUCACAGCUCCUUCUGCAUCAUCCGCCUGACCUGUUUCCUCAUCUGGGAUGACAACCAGAUCCAGCUCUGAGGUCCGUGCCCUGAGUAGAAAAGUUCACACAGCAAAGUUUCCGGAGCCUUCCCUGACGCGCCACGUGUCCGUCCAUAACUGGUCAUCCUCCACAUCCUGUGAGGCACGUCUCAGCACCUCUUCGUGCAAGCGCCCGCACUAGACGUUUGAGAAACAGAUGUGAGCAGGCGUGGUCCUGACCUCCAUCCCGAGGUUGGGGACAGAAAUGGGUGCCCAGCUGGUCAACAUACAUUUGUUACCUUGCUUUAAAAUGCCUUGAGAGUGGAACCACCGGUGCAGGCUUGGCUGGUCAAGAAUCAUGUUCUAGAAAUUAUUUCCAGUGCUGAGCACAGUCCCUGAGAUUUAAAAACGCUUAUGGGAUGAAUGGAAAAUAGCAGGGCCUCUUACCGGCCUGCAACGCCUUUAGAGGCACGGAUGCCACGUGCACAGACCCAGCUCCGGGAAGCACAAGCCUGGUGGUGUGCGGGAAGCGGCGAGGUGCGCGGGAAGCGGCGAGGUGUGCGGGAAGCGGCGAGGACCGGCUUUAAAGUCACAGCAGUUUCCUGAAAGAUGAGGGGGAGGAGGACAGUGACGCUCACAGCACAGCCACUUGUCAACUUGGACAUGACACACACAAAGCCCAGAGCUCGGACGGCACCGCGAGGAGGCUGGGAUUCACGUCAGGCGGCACUUGGUGGGCAGUUACAAGAAAGGACGGCAGCCAAGCCAGUGCCUCCUGUGCUCCGGCUCUGGGGCCCUGGACACACCUGGGGAUUCAGUUUUGCAUGGACCAGCAUUCUCCAAGCGCUCUGAUCAGUCUUACAGGAGAAGUAGGCUGUGUGGUCUGGGAGCCUUGAGAAGGUUCCGCUGUAAUCUGUCAGACUUUUGGACAGGAUUUUUCUGCCUUACGUGGCUGAUGUACGUCUGCAGGAGGGUAGCACACGGCACCCUCUCGGCCUGCUGUGCCACAAAACCUUUGCUUUUACAGGUCUCACGGAGCCAGUGGGCUGCCCAAUGCCCCAGUGCAGAGUGGAGACGAGGUCUUCCCCUCCUUCCCAGCUUGCCUGGGCGGCGACGCGUCUCAGAGACCUCUGCCAGGGUCAAUCCUGGCCCAUGCUACUAGCUCGGGGUGUGAAGUCACAGUUGAUGCUGAACACCUGGCUGGGCCAGACUUGUGCCCAAGAAACCUUAUACCACCAACUGGUUUUCAAAAGAAAAAAAUUAAAAGUAAUUCAAAACUUUGAGAUAUAAAUAUAAUUCUUUAAAAACUGCAGCGUGGUUCACUGGCCCUGUGAUGGGCUGAAUGCGCCCCCAAGUUCAUGUGGCAGCCUUGACCCCCAGGACCUCAGCGUGUGGCGUCUUGGAGACAGGGGCUUUACAGAGGCGAUGAAGGUAAAACAAGCUCUUAUGGCGACCCUGACCCAGCAGGACCGGUAUCCUUAUCAGAAAGGGAUAUCUGGACACAGAGACAGACGUGCACGUGUGGAGACACCUGAAGAUGAAGAUGGCAUCUACCAGGCGGGGGAGUGGCCUCAGGAGAAACGGGCUCUGCCCACGCCUCGACCUCGGACUUCCAGCCUCCAGAGCCGUGUGAAAAGAAACUUCCAUCAUUUAAGCUGCCCUGUCUGUGGGACUUUGCCUCGGCAGCCUGAGCAGACAGUACAGGCUCCAAAAACGCUCUCUGCAUGUGUGAUUCUGGCCAGGACCACCCUGCCCGAAGCCACGGCUAUGUCGAAGCUAAUUGUGCGAUUUCUGCCGGCCACGUGGUUUUGAUCCAAAAGCAUUUGAAAGCUGCUCUGAAGAUGCAGAAAAGCUGAGUCCCGGCAUCGCUGCUCCUUCCAAGCGACUGUUCACACACAGGGUGUGAGUGCGUCCCCCCAUCCAGGGUCCAGCCUGGCCUAAGGCUCACUGGGCACCAUCCAGAUCUGUGACUGGGUCCCCCCAUCCAGGGUCCAGCCCACCCGAGGUUCACUGGGCACCAUCCAGAGGCCCCAGAUGCCGACACCUGGGGACGGGCUGUAUCAGGCAGAUGUUUCCUCCCGGGCUCCACCUGGGGACGGGCCCCGGAUGCUGACACCUGGGGAUGGGCUGUAUUAGGCAGAUGUUCCUCCCGGGCUCUAGUUUUCCAGGCCGACAGGAGGAAGUCCUGUUGGGGCCAGGGGAGGCAUUGGGGAUGAGAUUGAGAGGAUGGUGGGGUCGCAAAGGUUUACAUUGCCUGUGCCACUUUCUCCAAGGUCUGGGGCCGCCACCCUGUGGUGCCUCUGGAAGCUGCCAUGUGGGGCUGGCCCACGGUGACUGGCCACGGCGGGGCUGUGUGUGGUAUGCACCUGUGAGCUGCUGAAACGCAGCCUGGCGGCCAGGAACCAGCUGCCCCAUCCUCUCUGCAGGAGGUCAGGUUUGAGCACGUAUUCCCUCAAACGCUCAUAGACGUCAGUAUCUCAGGACAAAGUGCUUGUCUGAGACCCAGGUUUGGGCCCCAAGGUGGUACCAUCGAGGGAGGCAUGUUCUGGCAGGUGACAGCCCCUCCUCUGUGCCUGAACCUGCAGUUUCUGCCCCCGCAUAAAAUGCCGCCAUCUCAGGCCCUCCCUGACCCCCAACCUGCACAAGGGCUCACAGCUGGCAGGCACCUGUGUGGGGUCGUGGUAGGACCUGUGUCUCUGAGGUCCAGCCCAAGGCUGUGCCACAUAGGCCCAAAUCCAAGCACUCCCCUCCUGGGCACGUGGCUGUGUGUGCAUGUGUGGCUGGGUGGGCAGGGGGGUUGACUCUGGCCACCGAAAUGGAGAGGAGCGGUGCACUCCCUGGGUCUGGCCCACGCAGGCUCCUUCCCAAGUGCUGCUGCCGGGAAAUGGAGGUCCCUAGGUGAGACGGGAGCCGGGCACUGUGGGGGUGGCCCCUGAGGGGCUGCAGGUUGGCACUGCCCAGCUGACGCAUUCCGCAGUCCUGCACCAGGGGAUGAACGAGGAAUCGGCUUCUGCUCUGCUGAACAUCCCACUGGUUCAUGUCCACUUGUUUGGGUGAUCCUAACUGAUCUGCUACCUGAGUUUGAAUCUCAGCGCUAUUAUUAGUCAGGGGUCCUGGAGGUGGGUGACCCCACCUCACCUAAACCACAGAGAUGCUCAUCCUCAUGCAUGCACACGUCCAUCUCAGCUUCAGCUCGCAAGCAGGACCCUCACCGUGGGGCCACGACGGACCCUGCAAAGCUGGUCUGACUGUGCCGAGCCUGUCGGGGGUUGGGGGAAGGAAGGCGGGAGCUCGGCAUCUGGAGGGCAGUGGAGACCCUCAGCGAGUGCCAGGAGGAUCUGCUGUCUUCCCAGUGUUGUCUUCACAGUGGAGAGAUGAGUUCACACAGCCUUAUCUGUGUUUCCAGUGGCCUCUGUGUGCAAGACGGGCCACGGGUUUUGUGCGGUAUUUGCCUGUGGGUCACAGCCAGGUGAAUGGGCCCUCCUGGGGCUGCAGCCCCAGGUCCUGAUGUUACUUGUGCCAGCCUGGCCACAGUGCCCGGCCUCCAGAAGCUGCUGUCAGAGGAGCAGACGGGAGGGCAGGGUGGACGGUUAACAGGGUCAAGGCCCCAGAGCCCCACACCCUCCCCAGCAGCCAGCACACCCUCUGUUCUGUGACCUCGCCCCUGCAUUGCGGCAACUGACAGAUGCUCCCCGGCCUCCUUCCCCGCUGCCGCGCAACCUCUGACAGCCACGUGUACUCUCCUGCUUUAGAACAAGGACCUUUCCCUUUUGUGCAUGAAUACGCUCUCAGCAGAUGCGAGAAAAU
rnacentral:lncRNA from 1 species